AUCCCUUUGUAGUUCAUCAGCAUGAUGAUUGGGUGCUCACGUACAUGUGUGAAAUGUGCCUCCCUUAAACUUUGUUAUGUGUUGGCUUACCAGUGUGAUG